rnacentral:rRNA from 1 species
UACGAAGGGGGCUAGCGUUGCUCGGAAUCGCUGGGCGUAAAGCGCACGUAGGCGGAUCUUUAAGUCAGGGGUGAAAUCCUGGAGCUCAACUCCAGAACUGCCUUUGAUACUGAGGAUCUUGAGUCCGGGAGAGGUGAGUGGAACUGCGAGUGUAGAGGUGAAAUUCGUAGAUAUUCGCAAGAACACCAGUGGCGAAGGCGGCUCACUGGCCCGAUACUGACGCUGAGGCACGAAAGCGUGGGGAGCAAACAGG